rnacentral:rRNA from 1 species
CCUACGGGGGGCAGCAGUGAGGAAUAUUGGUCAAUGGGCGCUAGCCUGAACCAGCCAAGUAGCGUGAAGGAUGACUGCCCUAUGGGUUGUAAACUUCUUUUAUACGGGAAUAAAUUGCAGUACGUAUACUGCUUUGCAUGUACCUUAUGAAUAAGGAUCGGCCAAAUCCGUGCCAGCAGCCGCGGUAAUACGGAGGAUCCGAGCGUUAUCCGGAUUUAUUGGGUUUAAAGGGUGCGUAGGUUGUUUUUUAAGUUAGCGGUGAAAGUUUGUGGCUCCACCAUAACAUUGCCGUUGAAACUGGAAGCCUUGAGUGUGUGUGAGGUAGGCGGAAUGCGUGGUGUAGCGGUGAAAUGCAUAGAUAUCACGCAGAACUCCGAUUGCGAAGGCAGCUUACUAAGCCAUAACUGACACUGAAGCACGAAAGCGUGGGGAUCAAACAGGAUUAGAUACCCUAGUAGUC